rnacentral:rRNA from 1 species
AUUGAACGCUGGCGGCAGGCCUAACACAUGCAAGUCGAGCGAGCGGCGGACGGGUGAGUAAUGUCUGGGAACCUGCCUGAUGGCGGGGGAUAACUACUGGAAACGGUAGCUAAUACCGCAUACCAUCUGAUGUGCCCAGAUGGGAUUAGCUAGUAGGUGGGGUACCGGCUCACCUAGGCGACGAUCCCUAGCUGGUCUGCGAGGAUGACCAGCAAAACUGGAAAGGAGACACGGUCCAGACUCAUACGGGAGGAAGCAGGGGGGAAUAUUGCACAAUGGGCGCAAGCCGGAGGAAGAAAGGCCGCGUGGGUGAAGAAGGCCUUCGGGUUGUAAAGCACUUUCAGCGGGGAGGCGUUACCGGAAGAAGAAGCACCGGCUAACUCCGUGCCAGCAGCCGCGGUAAUUC